rnacentral:rRNA from 1 species
AACGUAGGGGGCGAGCGUUGUCCGGAAUUACUGGGCGUAAAGGGCGCGUAGGCGGUUUCUUAAGUCAGAGGUGAAAACUACCGGCUUAACCGGUAGCCUGCCUUUGAAACUGGGAGACUUGAGGGCAGGAGAGGGGAGUGGAAUUCCCAGUGUAGCGGUGAAAUGCGUAGAUAUUGGGAGGAACACCAGUGGCGAAGGCGGCUCUCUGGCCUGUUUCUGACGCUGAGGCGCGAAAGCGUGGGGAG